CUUAGGCCAUUUCCUGUUGCCUGCAAGAUGAACUCUCAACUAGCUCUCCAGCACCAUCUCUGCCUGCGCACGGCCAUACUCCCAGUCACCAUGAAAAUGAACUGAACCUCUCAAACUAAAUUUGGUCUGAUCAGGGAGCAGAAGAUGAGGUGUCUCACAACCCCAUCUGCAGUGAAUACCCAGGAAAAUCAGUGACUUCUGAUGGCCUCGAACACAGAUUUCCACUUGUCUCUAUCCCGGCAGGUUUCAAGUCAACAGCAACAACGUGCCGGCCCCAGGUGUUCCUUCGGAAUCUGCAUCCUAGACAGACCCCCAAAGCGGCUCUAGUUCUAGGUGAUCCAGCCAGUCAGCUCCAGGCGGACCUGCAGAACCUGGGCAGAAACAGUAGGGGAACAGUCUGCACUCCUUUCUUUCCAGCCUCGGUCGGAAUUCCAGCUUUCCAGGGUCCCUGACAACGCCCGGAUUUCAGCCACAACUACACAAAGGCUGGGAAGUUGCGUCUCAAAUCCCAGCUGAAUGGCUGAGGAGCAUAUUAACAUAUCCAAGACGCGCGCAGGUCCUCCAGCAUCCCACGUCCCCUACCCAGGGACUGGCGGUACUGCCCUUUCCCCAGAAGCUCAUCCCUGGUAUAACCCAGUCAUUUUGGCUACGUUCACCCCUUUUUGGUCCCCUUUGGCAUCUUGGUCGCUGCUCCAAGUUCCCCCUCUCUCCACUCUCCUCAGAGUCAGGCUCACUCUGGACCUCUCCAGAUGCCUCCCGCUAUGCUCGACAUCUCCCUCAUAGCUGCACAGAACAAAACAAAACCCUUGUCCUUUCUCCACACCUAGGAGCAAUCAUGUCUUCCUUUUCAUUCAAAUUAAUAAAAUAUUUGUUGAGUGCA